rfam:Neotoma lepida isolate 417 scaffold_1072, whole genome shotgun sequence.
GGUGAGGUGGCUCAGAGGUUAAGAGCACUGGCUGCUCUUCCAGAGGUCCUGGGUUCAAUUCCCAGCAACUACCA